GAGUAGCUUUCUUAUCUAUCAAUUUCCCAAUUUCCACUUUACUUUUUGUUUAAAAUUGUAUGAUAUAGGGUGAUUGUGGCAUGAAGGGAAGCUUUGCUACUCGUAUCUCUGGAUCUGCUGAUCUUUACAAGGUAAUGAUCAUUCUACCAUGGGUGCUUCAAGUCCUCUACUAAUAUUCUUGUUGAAAUCAUGGGUAAUUUUUAUCUUCAAUAUUUUGGCAUAAAUUGCUAACACAAAACUGUAACAAUUUUGAGGUUUAGAUUGUUCAGAAGUUUAUUAACAUACCAUUUUUGUAACUGAAUUUGAAUUAACAAGUGAGCAGAGCACAUUUAUUUAUUUAUAGUCAAAAUAGCCUAUGAGAUCCUGGAGCAAAGCGUUGACUUCCACAAUGAAUUGAUUUUUUUUUUCUUUUAAAAAAGAAAUUUGUCAAGCUAUGGGUUGAUUCAGUUUACAGACUUAUAUGACUUGAAGGUGUUAUUCUGUGAUUCUCAUCUUAUGGACCUUGUUCUUAGUCAAUAUCUUUUAGGAUAUAGUAUUUUAUAAGUUAGAAUAUGAGAUGCUACUCAUGAAAGUUCUGACGUGACAGAAAUUUCGUUAAUGAAGCUAGACGUCUAUUUGCAUAUUCUGUAAAGUUUUACUUCACUAAAAUCCACUUUCCCAGUAAAGGAAUAAAAUAUAUUAUUCUAUUUAAUCUAUAUUAUAAUUUGCUCAUAUCUUGCAAUAUUAUAAAGAGUACAUACUUCUGAUGAGUAAAUCACUUUUAAUAUUUUUCAUUCCCCUCCACCUAAUCAGUUAUCACAAUUAUUGGCUAUUGCAAAAAUUAACCUUUGGAUCUUUUCUUCUCCUUCUAUAGGUCAAUAAACGCAAGCCUUACCAUAGUGUUAAUUUUGUCAUUGCACAUGAUGGUUUCACUUUGUACGAUCUUGUUUCGUACAAUUUUAAGGUACUAUAUGCUUUUACUGGAUUAAUUUGAUUUUAUAAAUAUUAUGAAUCCACUUUUGCCCAUUACUGUUGGUUUUGUAGCACAAUGAUGCUAAUGGAGAAGGUGGAAAUGAUGGGAGCAAUGAUAAUUUCAGCUGGAAUUGUGGUUUUGAAGGUAGGAAUGAGCUACUUAUCUGGAAACCUUAGUUUGUAAAUUACAGGUUUAGAGCAUCAUAUUUUUAAGGUUCUAAAGAUGGGAUCACAUGACACCUCAAAAACUGGGAAAAUUUUCAUAUCAACAGAUUGUGAAGUGAGUCACUAUGGAAUUUCUUUGAGAUGAAAGUUGUUUUUUUUAUUUGCUUUAAAAGUAGGCCCUUCAUACAUGGAGUAUAAAUAGAUUUAAUUUGGUUUGUUUACACCCUGUACCCAAACCAUACGAAACUAAAAAGAUUUCAAACCAGAUCAAACCAUUUACCACGAAAAUAACAGAAACCAAACUAAAUUAAGUUACCUUACAUUUUAUGUAUCUCAAAAAUUUUUGUAACUUUGUCUAACAAUAUUACCUUACAUUAAUAAUAGCGUAUCUCAAAAACAAUAUUUUUUGCAAAUUAAGUUACAUAUACAACCUAGCAAAACAAAAACAAAAACAAAAACAAAAGUAAGUACUUUUAGGCACGAAUAGGAUGGUUUGGUUUGUUUUGGUUGAAAUCUUCUAGACCAAAAUGAACCUAAUUAAAAUUUUUGGUUUAGAUUUCUAUAACCAAAAUUUGGAGGAUCAAAAGCUAAACUAACCAUUUUGGUACUUUGCUUUACUUUUUUAGUUUGCAUCAAACAAACCCUAUUCGUGGGAGGACUGAGUUACAUAGCAUAUUUGUGGUGCAUUCAGGUUCUUGUUGGUCCUUAAACCUCCUGAAUGUCUUAGGACAUCACUGCUUGGCUGUGGAUGCCUGUUUUGAGUGACCCUGUUCUCCCGAAGAUGUGAUAUCAUUUUAUGUUCGAAAGUGUUGGAUAGUAGUGUCUGUGUCUGCUUCUUUUAUAAUGGUUUUUCUUCUCUAGAUCUUUUGCCGAAAAUUUAGGAUAUUGAUAGGUUUUAAAAAAGCUUCCAUGGAUGCGGAGGUUGUUGGCUGUUCCCUUAUUGGAUUUAUGCAUUCUUGUCAUUCAUUCAACUAAAUCUUACCUUCCAUUUUGUUUGAAAGUUAGCCAUACGCUACAUGAUCCCUUUCAUUCAAAAUUCUUGUUACCUUCUUUUUUUUUUUUUGUGUGUGUGCUAUAUGAUCAUUUUCCAUUUUGGCAGUUUGAGAGCUGCUGUAUAGGGAACACAUGACCGGACUUAGCAGUUCAGGGAAUUGCAAGAAAAUAUAUUACAUUCAUCUGUAUUUAUGCACAGGGGAAACUGAUGAUCCUAAGGUUAAAGCUUUGCGUUCCAGACAAAUGAAGAACUUCCAUUUGGCAUUAAUGAUAUCGCAGGUAAAACAUAUCUGAAAGCUGGUAUAAAGUGUCGCACAUUGGUGGUGCCUUACAACUUUAUCUUUUCCUGCUUAAACGAUCUUCAAUGUUUUCCUGUUUGGAUAAAUAGUCUAAACUUUUUGUUUAACUUGAUACACAAAUCAUUUUUUUUUUCAAACAAAAAAUAAUGACAAUGAGACAAUAAUAAUAAUAAUGGACUUGUAUUUUAUUUGGGUUUCAGGUUCUUGUUUGACUAAUUAUGUUUGCUGUAGUGUAGGUUAGUCAACAUUGAGUUGGUUAAGUUGUUUUUUUCUCCCUAAUUUCAUAUGUUUGUCAUCUACCUUUAUUACUAUUAAUCCUUGCUGUUAUCUUCAAUAUAAUAGGCAGUAUAUGGGCUUCAAAGCUCGUUUCUAUUCCAUCCGAAUUUGACACACCACGCCUGUUUCCUUUUCUUUUACAUCAUUUUCAUUGUAGCUUGUGCGUUGUUAUGCCUGGUUUUUUAGUGGUUUUCUCUAUGUUGCUUGUGAGCUUUGCUGUUUUAAUGUGACCAAAGUGAAUGUAUAUAAGCAGGGAACUCCAAUGAUGCUAAUGGGAGAUGAAUAUGGGCAUACUCGUAAUGGGAACAACAACAGCUAUGGUCAUGAUAAUGCCAUUAACAAUUUCCAAUGGGACGAGGCAUGUUUUCUAUUUGUUUUUCUGUCUUUCUGAUAGCUUUAACUCAUGAUGGCUCCUAAUGCAAAAUAUUUUUGUUAACAGUUGGACCAAAAGAAGAGUAGUCAUUUUAGAUUUUUUGCAGAGGUGAUAAGAUUUCGCCGGAGUCAUCAAGUAUUUAGCCAUGAAAACUUUAUUAGCAAAGUAAAUCUCGUUUCACUUUCAUGUUGUAGUUUAUUGCCUCUGAUUCCUAUGAAGCUAAUGAACCAUUUCAUAUACAGAGUGAUGUUACAUGGCAUGAGGAUAACUGGGACAAUUAUGACAGCAAAUUUCUUGCGUUCACGUAAGAAUAAAAUUUUUCUUCUUUCUGCAAUGUAAAAAAUAAUCUGCUCCUGGCAAUGGAAUUGCAUAACUGAUGUCCAGGAUCAAGCACAGAUUUCCCAUUUCCUGUUUGAUAUUAUAAAUUGCAUGCUGGACAGAGUGGCAAGUUGUUGAUUUAUUUCUUAAUCAAAAAGAAUUAUUUCAUUGUGUGCAUGCGUAUGUGCUCGUCUAUUUAUAUACCGUCCUGUCUCCUUGUGGCAGACAAUUGUAUUUCUUCUUUUCUCUGAUUGCCAGAAAAAAGGAUUCAAGCUUUGUUAAUGUGCUUUCCUCCUAACAGCACAGCCCCAGCUUCAUGGGCCAUUGUAGUCUCAUUUUCUCUUUAAAAGAAGUUUGAGUUUCAUUACCUGGAGGCUUGCAACUGUUCCCAUCCGACAAUAGAUGACCCUAAUCUUUUCCUUCACUCCCUUUAUGAACAAGAGGGAGGGACAGACUGCCUACAGUCUGUUUAGAUAUAUAUGAACAAAGCUAUUUCUACCAGUUAUUACCAAAAGCCAGAUCUAUGGCCUAUUAGUUUUACUAUUUCUGACCUUAUCUCCUGAUAUUACUAAAUAGAGUAAACUUAUGCUGGGGACUCCAGGAGCAAUCAUGUACACAGUAUUUAGCUUGGAAACAAUUAGUGUGUGAACAUAUAUAUAAUGAAAUGAAUUUUAGAAGAUGUUGUGCCGUAUAUAUUUUUUUCUGGAAACUAGUGAGCAUAUUUCAUUGUUAUUUUAACGAGCAUAUGCAGUCAGAACAGCAAAUGAGAAAUCUUUGGUUUUUGCAGGCUUCAUGACAAGAAAGGUGGAGAUAUAUAUUUGGCAUUCAAUGCACAUGACUUUUUUGUUAGAGUUUCAAUACCUCCACCACCAGCAAGGAGGCAUUGGCUUCUUGUGGUUAGUAUUUUCCUUUUCUUUUCUUUGAACUUGCAAUAUCUGCAACAUAUAAUGCUAUAUUCAGCACUUACAUUAUCCUAGUGCCACGAAUAUUAUUCAUAUGCUUAAAUUGUCUUUUCAUCUUUCAAUUUUAGGAUACCUGCUACCUUUCAAUUUCAGAAUACUUGCUACAGAAACAACUUUCAGUGAUAAUCUUAAUUUCUUAGUGGUUAUUUGGACUUUGUUUCGGGACACCUAUCCCACUGAUUUUUGGUCAAUUUUUAAUGUUUCAAACCUAUACUGCUUUCUAAGCAUAUGGGAUCAUUGUUCCUUGGCUUUCCUAAAAACUAGAGGGUUUGUCCCUCUCUGUACACCUGGAUGUGAGAACGGAAAAUGUUCCUUGGGUUGAUCCAAAUUUGUGGAGAUGGGAGAUCAAAUGAGUAUAUUAGGCUCCAAGUAAAUGGUGCGGUUUGGUGCUAUGUUGUCACUUUACAUGUCAGUCCCUAACUUUUUGCUCCAAAUUCUCCACAUGUUGUAAUGCUCCUUCGCUUUUAGUUUUCUUUCCCAAAAAGGACCACAUAGAUGCAGCCUUACUCCUGCUGUGAUGUUCAUUAGGAGCCUCUCACUUGCUGCUUUUUUUAAAAUAAAAAAUAAAAAAGUAAAGUAUAAUUCAUUCACAAGCAGUAAGUGCAAACCCGUGUACCUGUGACUUGCUGCUAAUUAAUGAUAAAGCAUUGUUUUAAUUAAGUUUCCUAGUGUAACGUUCAUGACAUGGAUGCAGUAAAGUGAGCUGCCGAGUUUAAAUGAUGGAUAUAACUAUGGCCAAUAAAAGAUUCUUUUGAAGUAAAAGAGUGAAAGAAGCAAGAAUUAAAAAAUAAAAUAAAAUAAAAAAGUCUCAGUUGAAUGAUUUGAUCAGGAAUAAUUGUGGCUUGACUUGGCAUGCAAAAUAUUCCUUAUUCACAAUCAAUAAUUUAAAGAAGAACCCAAACAUGUUGGUAAUUUAUUUGCCUCGUCAAAUUUCAGGCGGACACAAAUCUCGAGUCUCCGAAUGACUUUGUCCCUGAAGGUGUCCCAGGCAUAGAAGGCAUCUACAAUGUGGCCCCUUACUCUUCAAUUCUUCUUGAAGCUAAAUAAUGAGUCAUGAACCUGACCUAUCUGCAUAUUACACGAGCACUCCAAGAUUUUUUAUCUGCUAUAUGAGAUACAGGUUUUCUGGGAUCAUUUCGGUAUCAGGUAUUUCUAAGACUAAGGAAAGAGAUCUCUCUUUUGGGUAAAGAAGGAAGAUCAAUCUACAUCACAAAUUGAUGAAACAUUAACAGUUUUUAGACUUUACGCGCACUUAAUUAUAUAGUCAACUUUAGAGGCUUGUCUUUCCUUGGUAGUGAAGAUCUGAAUUGGUAAUGCAAAUUAAUUUUUACUUUUUUUUUUUUUUUUUUCCUUGCGUGAAGAAUUAGAAUUCAAGAAUAAGCAAGAAGAAAAAUAAAUACUUAUAUAUUCGGCAAAGCUAUUUUCUCAAGUCAUUGAAGAAGUAUUUGUCGUCUAGUGAGCGGCACGGUUUCUGAGUUUGACGACUUUAACUUGCUUUGAUUAGAAGAUGGCAUUAUGUAUUUAUGGUGCUUCUUUUUGAGCUCAUCUAUACGGUAGUCUUAUAUAAUAAACAUGCAAAUCAGGUUUCUUAAGACUUUUUGAAGCUGGAUGAAUUUAAUAAUUUAAGAGAAAUUCUGGGAGAACUAGUCAAUAUAUAAAUUCGGUUAACUGGCAAUUUGAUUUGUUUAGGGUAAAUUUUAAAAUUUUAAUAGAUGUAUGAAACAAUCUUCCCGGAAGUACAUCUUGGAUUUUAAAUCUUUUUAACAACGAAAAGAAGUUCAAGGUCUUAAAAAAUUACAACUGGACAACGAGACAAAGAUAAUGAAAACAGUAACACAUCUUUAGAUGUAUUAACUUAUGAUGAGUUCCAUGUCUUUUCUUCAUCGAUUUGGAUAGUCCUGUAAUUUAAAUUUUAUAAUAUAUUCCAGUCCACAACGGGCUAAUCUAAUCAUAACGAUAAGGGCAAUUUCCGCGUUUAAUAAUUAACUUGAUUAAUUAAAAAAUUAUACCCGUUGAUCAAUUAGAAACUUCAAAGACUAGAAAAGUCAACCAACAACCCACCGCCGUUGAUCAAAGAUGCUUUACGACAACGCGUCGCUGGAGUUUGUCAAAUUAUUGUACUUCAUCCGACGGUUCAGAUCCUUCCCUUGCGAUCAUCGGUACCACGUGUCAGUGAAGAUGCAGUUUCCUUUUUGUCGCACUUGAAUCCCUCAAGUUUCUCAUUCUCUCAAACCUUCCCCUAAUUGUUUAAACCAAUUGUAGAUCUGCUCCCCGUUCGUCUCCCAUAAUUAGUAAUUAUUUAUUAAACCUUAUUACGAAUGCCACUAUUAUCCAAAGACAAAUUAAUAUGACAUUUUCUUAUUAAAAAACUAAUUUUUAACUAAAUUAAAUAACAAAAAUGAUUGCGUCUCAUAAAUUUUUAUAAGCAUGUCUAAAAGAAAAUAAUUCUCUUUCUAGAAGAAGUAAAAUUUCAUUAUAAAUUAUUAAUAAUUCAAUAAAGUAUAAUUAUAUGUUGAUAAAAAAAUAAAUCAACAUGAUAGGACAAAAAUAAAAUAGACUUUUUAUCUAUUUAGACCGGCAAGGACUAAAAUGAAAGAAUACGUAAAUAUAAGGUGGUUAAAUGGAGAUUUCCGAAUAAACAAGUCAUCUUACGAUUAAAAUCUGGAAGAAAAGGAAACAAACAAGAAAUUUUCUGAACCGACUUUAACCUUUUCUCUAUAUAAACUCUCUUCUCCUCUCUCUCUCUCUUCAAAGCCCGCACAGUCUCUCUUUCGUUCUCUCUCAAUCUCUCACCAGUCGGCUCCUCUGUACUCUGCGACUUCUUCCUUUUUGCUUCUGAGCCCUUUGGCCUUUCGUUUUCUCUCGAGAACUCGCUUGAGCUAUAAACGAAAAAUGGCCAACGAGACUUUCCUUCUUCUUCUGCUUCUGGCACUGGCUUCCCACUCCGCUCUUGCUCAGGCUCCCGGAGCAGCACCGAACCAAUCUCCGCCAGCAGCUACUCCAGCUCCGGCCCCAAAGGCUGCGGCUCCAACUCCCUCAGUCAUGGCUCCACCACCAGCCACCACUCCAACUACUCCACCAACCGUAGCUCCAACCGUACCUCCAGCAAGUGCACCAACUUCUCCCACCAUCUCUCCUCCUGCUCCUCCCACCUCUCCCGCUUCAGCUCCAUCCACACCGGUCCCUCCCACACCAUCCAUUUCCAACCCUCCCGGUGAGGCUCCUGCCGUCACUCCCGGCAAUGGAGCUGCCUUGAACAGAAUCUCCGCCGCCGGAUCUUUCGCAGGAGCUGUCUUCGCCGCGGCCUUGUUGCUGUAGAUCUGACACG
rnacentral:lncRNA from 1 species